rnacentral:lncRNA from 10 species
GUUGCUUCAUAUGACAACUUGAAAGGCACACAAUUCGCUUUUCUUCCUGAAAGAUGGCAAAUGCUUCAAAAACUGAACAAGUUGAUAAAUUAUACCGGGACGAGCUCACCCACCACUGAAGUGCAACCAUCUUUGGGGUAGCUCCCUACAGCUGUUUACCACCAUGCUGUGGUGCCUAGGAGCAGUCUGUCAUAAAGAAAAGAAGAAUGCACUUGGAAUAUAAGCAACAGGCAAUUUGCAGAAGAGAAGAUAUAAUUAUCUAGAUUGGAAUAUGACCAGGACAACCAUACCAUUCCCACAAACCACCAAGAAGGCAAAAAGUAAGCAAGAGAGGUUUGGGUAUCUGGUAUCUGUUAAGAGAGGUUUGGAUAUCUGAUAAUUGUUUGAAUCACAAUCUAAUGUUUUUAUGCUACCAAAAAAUGAAAUUUAGAAACCUUUUUGGUUUUGUCUUUUCUUGUCUCAUUCACCUGUACAUAAUCCUUAUGCUGCUUCCUACUUUGGCCACAGAGGAAAUCAGGAAAAGGCCAUUGAAAACUACUCUUUAAGCUAUCUGGGGAAUUUACCUUAUGAUCUAAGAUACUAUUUAUUUCUAAAGCUGAAAUAACAUUGUGCCUGUGGAAUCAAUGAGAUGAUGAAAAAAAUGGACUUUGUCAGUGGGUGGAGGGAUGUG